AUACCUUUCUCGGCCUUUUGGCUAAGAUCAAGUGUAGUAUCUGUUCUUAUCAGUUUAAUAUCUGAUAUGUGGGUCAUGUGCCCACAACGAUAUUAAAUUUAUUUUUUAUGGGGGAGGGUCCACCACACUAGCUAGCUAGUGGGGCCUUCAUGUGUCGCCUGGGCGUUGCACUACUACCCAGGCCAGGCGCACCCCAA
rnacentral:snRNA from 1 species